CUGCCACUAGGGAAGGUUUUCUUUCUGGAGAUCCCUCCUUUGUGUAGUCUUUCCUGCAAACCUAGAUCUUUGGAUGUAGGUUGUGUUUCUGACCUAUUUACAAUGGCUUGGAAUUCUGUAGUGACUCCAAAUAAAAAGGAUGACACACAGAGACAACAGUUCCUGAAGGACAGAAAGCUGAGGUGGCAAAUAAGAGACAAAAAGAGAAUGUGAAAAAGAAGAGAAUGGAUUUUUCCUCCAAAGAAAUCUAAUUCUAGAGAUGAAAGAAUGAAAUUCACAGACUUAGUGUCCCAGAACCAACAAAAGAAAUAAUCCCAAGGUCUGAACACAUGGAAGACAACUAAAAGGAAAUAAAUCUUGUUUUUAACAUAAUACAAACAUGAAAAGACAGAAGAAUGGGCUCCAAUCAAAAAAGGCUGCACCAUGUAACUGAUGGCCAUCUCUGCAAACUGUAUUUCAUUAUUCCCCAUGAAAGCUUCCUCUGAUUAAGUAUUGGUUGGAGACUUCAGCAGUGGCUUAAUAGCACUGUAGUGAAUAAUAUACAUAACAUAUGUAAAAGCUGAUUCAAUACAAAGCCAUUUAAGAACUCAUUUUUGAAAUUCCUCAAGGCAGUAAGAUGGUCACUGACUUCAUAAUGGAUUGUCCUGCACUCAUCAACAAGCAAAGAUUACUCAGCCAGAUAGAGGCCUCGGGAUAAUCUGUAUAACAAAAAUUGAAUAAAAUUCCAUAUGUAAAAGAAUAUCAGAAUUGAUUCUUCAGAUCUAUAAUGGAAAUGAAACUCUUUCUUGAAGGUUUGCUAGCUUAACAAUUUUGCCACUCCUUAUUUCUUUAAUUGUAGUGCACAAAUGUUUUGUAUUAUUAUUAUUUUACUGUUCUGUCUUUUUUCUGGGUCAUGCAUUUCAUUAUUUCCCAGCAUUUUAGCUCAUUUCUGCCUGCUGUACUUAUGUAAGGAAAUAAAACUUGUGCCACACAUCAAGGGCAGAACUGAAUGAAUCCUUUCUCUAGUUAUGACUAGAGGAUUCCCAUAAUCAAAACACUUGUGGCUAUUUUAGCAUCUGCAUCCAUCCCAGCUCCUACACAAGGGCAAAGUAAAUCAUAUUAUACAAGAGCAACAAAAUAAAUUCUUUGAGUUAAGGGCAUAUGACUCUUACCAGAAGUAUAGCCUGAAGCAGAAUAAUGUUCACAAGUUCCUGGAACACACAGAAUCUAAAAGAGACAAAGCAGGCAAGAGGAAAAAACAACAGUGUCAACAAAAUGAAUACCUUCAGGGAAAACAGGAAAGUUUGUGUGUCUUCCAGUUUCUGAGUGGGCUUGAGCAUGUGGACCAGUAGCAUGAGCUGUCAUGGGACCAGAGGGAGAAAUCAUGACUGUCAAAUUUUAUCUGCUCAGUUGGUAAGUCUGUAUUCGUAAGAGAAGAGACCCAGACGUAUCACAGCAGAUCUUCCUUAAUAUCCAGGAAUACUAAAUGUUAUUUGGCCUGUUCAUACCAUGCAAUGUGUACUUGUUCUUUAGUUGCAUGUCUGUGGCAGUGUGCAGUUGUUCUGAGCCAGUGAAGGGCAGAGGCUGGUUAACAAGCAGAAAUAACAGUGAUGUAAAUCUGCCUCCAGGCCAGACUGAUUGUGGGGCAGAAGCUUGUCAUGCUGCUUCAUAACAACACCAAUCAGCUUCAGCAUAAACAGGGAUGAGAAUUUUAUGUUUA